AUUUGUCUGGUUAAUUCCGAUAACGAACGAGACCUUAACCUGCUAACUAGAUUCUUUUAUUCUAUAAAGGUUAUCUUCUUAGAGGGACUAUGUAAAACAAAUACAUGGAAGUUUGAGGCAAUAACAGGUCAGUGAUGCCCUUAUAUGUCCUGGGCUGCACGCGUGCUACACUGAUGCAUACAACAAGUGCCUAACCAGACAUGGCAUGGCAAUCUCGAAUAUGCAUCGUGAUAGGGAUAGAUCUUUGCAAUUAUAGAUCUUGGACGAGGAAUUCCUAGUAAGUGCAAGUCAUCAUCUUGCAUUGAUUAUGUCCCUGCCCUUUGUACACACCGCCCGUCGCUCCUACCGAUACCGGGUGAUCCGGUGAACCUUUUGGACCUGUAUGGGGAAGAUAAGUAAACCAUAUCACCUAUAGGAAGGAGAAGUCCGUAACAAGGUUUCCGUAGGUGAACCUGCRGAAGGAUCA
rnacentral:rRNA from 1 species